rnacentral:rRNA from 1 species
UACAGAGGUCCCGAGCGUUGCUCGGAUUGACUGGGCGUAAAGGGCGCGUAGGCGGUUCGUACAGUCAGACGUGAAAUUCCUGGGCUCAACCUGGGGGCUGCGUUUGAUACGUGCGGACUUGAGUGCGGAAGAGGGUCGUGGAAUUCCCAGUGUAGAGGUGAAAUUCGUAGAUAUUGGGAAGAACACCGGUGGCGAAGGCGGCGACCUGGUCCGAUACUGACGCUGAGGCGCGAAAGCGUGGGGGAGCAAACAGG